CGAUUAAACAGUAAAUACGCACAGGUUAAAGGCCCUAUAAUUUCUCUUCCGUGUAAAUACUUUAAAAACGAAACUCUAGAAGCAAGUAGAUCUAAUUCGCAAGUGUUUUGCAAACAGUUUGGAAGGAUAAAUAGCUUACGGAACGAAGAGAUAAGAUGGCACGCGGAAACCUUGUUAGUAUUCACAUGGUAUUUGUGUUUUUGUUGUAUCAUGUCUGGAGCAGCAUUGCAACGGAUAUCAAAGACAUUCGGUUGGCAAACGGUGUUGGCCUCCGUGACGGCAGAGUUGAGUUACUGAUUAAUGGAACAUGGGGAACAAUCUGUAGUACAUCUUUUGGACACGACGAGGCA